rnacentral:rRNA from 1 species
UACAUAGGCUACAAAAGUUAUUCGGAUUGACUGGGCGUAAAGGAUGCGUAGGCGGUUUUGUAAGUCUAAAGUUAAAGGCUGAGGCUUAACCUUAGUUUGCUUUAGAAACUACAUAACUAGAGUGUAGAAGAGGUUAGUGGAAUUUUGCAUGUAGCGGUGAAAUGUUUAGAUAUGCAAAGGAACACCAGAGGCGAAAGCGACUAACUGGUCUAUUACUGACGCUGAGGCAUGAAAGCGUGGGGAGCAAAUAGG